rnacentral:rRNA from 1 species
GACAGAGGGUGCAAACGUUGUUCGGAAUUACUGGGCGUAAAGCGCGCGUAGGCGGCUUUGCAAGUCGAGUGUGAAAUCCCCAGGCUUAACCUGGGAACUGCAUUCGAGACUGCAUAGCUAGAGUAUGGGAGAGGGAAGUGGAAUUUCAGGUGUAGCGGUGAAAUGCGUAGAUAUCUGAAGGAACAUCAGUGGCGAAAGCGACUUCCUGGACCAAUACUGACGCUCAUGUGCGAAAGCGUGGGGAGCAAACAGG